rfam:TPA: Bos taurus chromosome 11, whole genome shotgun sequence.
UCCCUGUUAACUUAGCUGGUAAAGAAUCUGCCUCCAAUGCAGGAGACUCUGGUUCAAUUCCUGGACCAGGAA